GGCUUGUGAUACAACCGUGAAGAAUAUUCUCCAAAAGCGAUAAGUACCUGACGGGGGAAGAACAAACAGAUAGAAGCGGUUUGCUUCUAAAACUCGAAGAACGGGUAGAUCUGGAGACUGGUAGGUGUCGAUGCUGGUAUUUUUCCAGAAUCCAUACAUUCGCAAAGACGCAAUAUCAAACUAAGUAGUAAAAGCACUAUGGAUCAGUUGGUUUGAUAAGCAAGAGCCAUUAUAUGAUCGGCUGUUCUUUCACUGUGAAUUUUUUUCAUUCGCGGAGAAGCUUAACUGUUGGUUUAAUAGUUCUUACUUAUAAAAUGCGGCAAUCUGUGCGUGCGUUUGAUUGACUUUCAGACUGCGAGUGUUAUAUGCGUUCUGGAUACUAUUAUUUAAGUUGUUGUUUGCAUGACCAAUAUUUUUCAUCGCAUUGGGAGGUGGUGAUUUUUAAUUUCGUUUUCGAACUUUUACCAUUAAUUUUGUGGAUAUUGAUAGUAUCCCCUUUAUGUUGUCCCACAUAUGCCAGUGCUCGGCUGUGAUCCGAGGAAAGAUCGUUAUUCGUCUGCCAAACUUGAUACGUUAGUUCUCUAGUACUUCUGUGAUUUCGGAGUUUUGUGAUUUUGUUUAUCGAAUAGUGAAAUGAACGAGAAUUCACUUCCCCGCUUCCUGCUAUGGAAAGAAUAGACAGCGCGAGGCCUAAACUCGAUUAUGUGGCUUAAAGUUAUGAUUUCAAUCUGGAGACUUCAAAUUUUGGUGCAAGCUGUAAGGACUCAUUCAUGAAAGACUUACGGCGUUUCUCAAUUAGUGCUUCUGCCUGGACUAAGGGAUAAACUGUUGUCGAAACUGGUUGAUAUGCCAAAACUUUGCAAAGGUGUUCCGUAAUAAUAACGUGAACUUUUUGUGAAUCUCAGUGUGAAAGAUUUCGGGUGAUGAUCGAUCUAGUGCAAGGUGACAUGCCAGAAAACCGGCUGAAGUAACAUCGAGCACCGUUUCUUCACAGCUCAGUGGAAACAGCCAAGAAUCAGAUCAUUCUAUGGCCUGCGAAGCUCUGAUGACGUAAUAAUUGGGAACUGAAACGACCAUCGUAAACCAAAACUUUUUCUCUUCGUUAGCUUCCAUCUUGUAAAACUACGCACUUCAGAUUCUGGCUCUGCUUUGCUUGGAUGCACUUCCGCUGUGCUGCUUGCUACUGCAAUAAUAUCAAAACUGCAAAUGUUCUUAACAGGCACGACUAGGGUGCCAAGUGGUCUGUGGCCACAUAAUGUCAA